rnacentral:lncRNA from 1 species
UGCCUCGAGUUUUUCUCUUCUGACCUUUCUUUGUCCUUUGCCCCUAUUCUAAGAUUGAGGGUUGGUGGUUCUUUUCUCCGAGGAAGGAUCUGUCUUUCAUCACCGGCCUUCCUUCUUCCAUUCAUGAUUGGAACUCUUUUUUUUUGUUUCUUCUUCCUUAUCCUGGGGCUUUUCUUCUACCUGAGAGAGUUCGGAUACAAGUCCGAAUGAGAAUAAUCGGGAUGACGUCACCGACAGAGAAGACUUCCUCCAUCUGAAGGAUAUGUAAGUUUCUCCACAGAAAGAAUUAUUGAUGGAGCAAACUCUCUACGAUGCCGAACUUGGUUCGACACCCGUCAUAGAUAUAGCAUAAUGUAGUUUUUUAGUUUCUUACGUUUAUCUGACCUCAGAUUUUAACCAAUUCAUUUUGUUUUCUGCUUGCAGCUAUACAAUCUUCGAUGUGAGUUUCGACGGCUGAUAUCCGAUAGUUCGCCGCCAAGAAGAGGUCCAUGGUCGAUGCAGGGCCCUCUAGAGCUCCAAAGAAAAGUCAGGCCGACACUCAAUCGAUGGUAGUGAUCGAGAUCAACACUCUGUCGGUAGUCACCCCUGGGCCUAGCACUAAGCUGGUUAUAGCAUUGUUGGCUCCGAUAGUGCUUCCAUCAGUUGAAGCACCUCCAUCCGGUAGGAAACCGGAUAGAGACAAUGAUG